rnacentral:tRNA from 1 species
AAGGAUUUAGUUUAAAACUAAAACAUUAACUUGUCAAGUUAAAAUUACUGGUAAGUAAUCCUUA